GGCGAUUUCAGUGUUAGUCAGGUUUUUGAGGAUGAUAACGAUGAGCUUCGCAGGUCACCUGGAACUCCAGUUUUUACUGCACCAGAAUGUUGUUUGGGCCUGACAUACCACGGUAGAGCUGCCGAUACAUGGGCUGUGGGAGUUACCUUGUAUUACAUGGUUUCGGGUCAAUAUCCAUUUCUCGGAGAGACGCUGCAGGAUACCUAUGAUAAGAUUGUCAACAACCCGCUGAUAAUUCCUGAUAACGUCCACACAGAGCUGAAGGACCUACUGGAGCAGCUGCUUUGCAAAGAUCCUAGACAACGAAUCCGCCAGCGGGUU
rnacentral:misc_RNA from 1 species